rnacentral:rRNA from 1 species
CUACCUCGAGGAUUGGAAUAACACGUCGAAAGAUGUGCUAAUGCCAAGUAAGCCUCCAGAGUUAUAAAGACUUUGGUUGGAAAGCUGGCGCAAGCAAGCGCCUUGAGACGAGCCUGCGUUCCAUUAGUUUGUUGGUGGGGUAAUGGCUUACCAAGACUACGAUGGAUAACUGGUCUGAGAGGAUGAUCAGUCACACUGGAACUGAAACACGGUCCAG